rnacentral:rRNA from 1 species
CAUUUAAAGAAAGCGUAAUAGCUCACUGGUCGAGUCGGCCUGCGCGGAAGAUGUAACGGGGCUAAACCAUGCACCGAAGCUGCGGCAGCGAACGUAUCACUUAAAGCGAUUCAGCGGGUUACGAUUGACGGAGCGAAGCGACGUCAAAGCGUAUACAAAGUCGAGUCGGUUUAAGGAUACGUUCGUUGGGUAGGGGAGCGUUCUGUAAGCCUG